GGUACGGUGGCGCAACGGUAGCACGUCUGACUCCAGUUCAGAAGGUUGCGUGUUCAAAUCACGUCCGGGUCAAUCG
rnacentral:tRNA from 1 species